rnacentral:rRNA from 1 species
UACGAAGGGGGCUAGCGUUGCUCGGAAUCACUGGGCGUAAAGCGCAUGUAGGCGGCUUUCUAAGUCAGGGGUGAAAUCCUGGAGCUCAACUCCAGAACUGCCUUUGAUACUGGAGAGCUUGAGUCCGGGAGAGGUGAGUGGAACUCCGAGUGUAGAGGUGAAAUUCGUAGAUAUUGGGAAGAACACCCGUGGCGAAGGCGGCCAUCUGGACCGGUACUGACGCUAAGGCGCGACAGCGUGGGGAGCAAACAGG